UGAUCCCAUCUGCACUCCGCUGGCACUCUUUCUCGGCGCUUUUACUUCUUUCGGCAUUCCACUUCUCGCUCUCCCCGCGUGCACGCACGAUCGACACGACCGCGCUGGCCGCACCCACGGACACCUCGUACAGAACCUCUUUAACCACCAUAGCGGCGACGAGUGGUGGGAAAGGGGGGAGGGGAAAACGAAAAGAAAACACGUUCACACCUCUAGCACGUCGAACCAUGAGCGCUGCGAACGACUCCGGUGCUCCUGCGGCGCCGAGCGGCAACAAGGUAACCUUCCGCGUCAUCCUCACCUCGGAGCGGAGCCAACCAUUUCGUGUGAUCAGCAUUGCCGAGGAGGCCCCGCUCACGGCGGUGCUGCGCUUCGCCGCCGAGGAGUUCGGCGUUGCUUCCGUUGACUCCAUGGCCGCGACCACUAAGGACGGCACCGGCAUCAACCCUGCGCAGACGGCCGGCACGGUGUUCAUGAAGUAUGGUCAGGAGAUCCGACUGAUUCCGCGUGAUCGCGUCGGUGCCGCCCCCUGCGUCCGCCUUCUGAGGAGCCGGUGGCGGUGGUGGAGGGGGUGAGAGCGGCAAGCGAUGCUGUGUCUCUUGUGUGCCAUACCAAGGCACCUGAGCUGAACCGCGCCUGUCUCGCGACACUAUUUUCCCUCAGUUUUGGUUCUCUUUCGCUGUGGGCGCUUCUCCCUUGUAAAGGAUUUCAGUGGCACACAUACAUGCAUACAUAAACGCAUAUGCGUGUGUGUGUGUGUGUGCCUCUCUCUGCCAAGUGCACGACGGUGCCUUCGAACUCCCCCAUCCCCUCAAAACAACGGCACGCGCAUAUGUGCGGAUAAGCGCGCGCGUGUGCUGACAUCGAAGAGGACAACGAGGAACGAAGGAAAGCAGGAGCGUGCUAUGGCCGCUCUUUCUCUUCUGCUGGCGGACGUGCAUGUCUGCGUGCGUGCCUUCCAGAGCCGUCCACGAUUUGUCGGACUCCACUCUCUUUAUGCGCAUGACGUCCGUGCGCGCCCCCCCUCCACUUCCCUCUCUUUCUUUCCCUACCCCCUAACUUCGCCUCACCUCUCGCACCCGCUCUUGCCGCACAUGCGUCAG
rnacentral:misc_RNA from 1 species